rnacentral:rRNA from 1 species
ACUCCUACGGGAGGCAGCAGUGGGGAAUAUUGCACAAUGGGGGAAACCCUGAUGCAGCCAUGCCGCGUGUGUGAAGAAGGCCUUCGGGUUGUAAAGCACUUUCAGUAGGGAGGAAGGUAGUGUAGUUAACACCUGCACUAUUUGACGUUACCUACAGAAGAAGCACCGGCUAACUCCGUGCCAGCAGCCGCGGUAAUACGGAGGGUGCGAGCGUUAAUCGGAAUUACUGGGCGUAAAGCGCAUGCAGGCGGCCUGUUAAGUCAGAUGUGAAAGCCCGGGGCUUAACCUCGGAAUUGCAUUUGAAACUGGCAGGCUAGAGUCUUGUAGAGGGGGGUAGAAUUUCAGGUGUAGCGGUGAAAUGCGUAGAGAUCUGAAGGAAUACCAGUGGCAAGGCGGCCCCCUGGACAAAGACUGACGCUCAGAUGCGAAAGCUGGGGGA